rnacentral:rRNA from 1 species
UUCGGAUCGGGGUCUGCAACUCGACCCCGUGAAGUCGGAGUCGCUAGUAAUCGCAGAUCAGCAACGCUGCGGUGAAUACGUUCCCGGGCCUUGUACACACCGCCCGUCACGUCAUGAAAGUCGGUAACACCCGAAGCCGGUGGCCUAACCCCUUGUGGGAGGGAGCCGUCGAAGGUGGGAUCGGCGAUUGGGACGAAGUCGUAACAAGGUAGCCGUACCGGAAGGUGCGGCUGGAUCACCUCCUUUCU